rnacentral:rRNA from 1 species
UGGGGAAUUUUACACAAUGGGGGAAACCCUGAUGUAGCGACACCGCGUGAACGAAGAAGCCUUUUGGGGUGUAAAGUUCUGUCGGCUGGAACGAAAAAAAUGACGGUACCAGCAAAGGAAGCAUCGGCUAACUACGUGCCAGCAGCCGCGGUAAGACGUAGGAUGCAAGCGUUGUCCGGAUUUAUUGGGCGUAAAGAGUUCGUAGGCGGUUAUUUAAGUCUGGUGUUAAAUACUGUGGCCCAACCACAGA